rnacentral:rRNA from 1 species
AACGUAGGAGACAAACGUUAUCCGGAGUUACUGGGCGUAAAGGCGUGCAGGUGGUCUGUUAAGUCUGGCGUGAAAGCUCCUGGCUAAACCGGGAGAGGUCGUUGGAUACUGGCGGACUAGAGGACGGUAGAGGCGUGUGGAAUUCCGGGUGUAGUGGUGAAAUGCGUAGAGAUCCGGAGGAACACCAGUGGCGAAGGCGACACGCUGGGCCGUACCUGACACUGAUACGCGACAGCAUGGGGAGCGAACGGG